UCACCACCAAUCAUUUCAUUUCCCAUAUUUUCUUCCCUAAUCAGACCACUCUCCUCUUUUUGACCAAUCAGAAGACUCUCUCUCUCUCUCUCUCUCUCCUCUCUGCAACAACCAAGACUCAUCAUCAAACUUCACAGAUCGAACCUAAAAUCACCACCUUCAUGUUCCUCUUAUCCUCACGAGUCUAUCCGUACAAAGCAAUCUUAAAGUAAUCAAGUUUUGAGUGUCCAACUCAGAGCAACUCAGAGCUCUAACUCAAGUGUACAUUCCUCCAUGCCUUUUCUGUUCGAGUUGCACGGUUUUGGAAGGUUUGGAGACAUCUAGGUAACUCCCCGUGGCCACUAGCCUAGGUUUGAAGUGGAGCCAACGUGAGAACACAUGAGUUUGAGACAACAAAAAUAGGGCCAAGAGUUUCAAGGCUUUUUCAGUCUAUUUUUGUCCGCUUUUUGGACUUUUGAGAGAAACUGGCGAACCAGAUGAUUGCGGCGAACAGUGGAGGACAACUGGAGAAGAAGGAGAAUAUUUCGUUAAAGUUAACGGAAUAUUCCGUCAAAUCUGACGGAAUAUUCACUAGGGUUUCUGUCAAUUUGUUAGGUGUUUGGCUUGCACAUAGGCGCACGUGUGGCCGUGACCUAGCAGCUCGUGAGGGCGCGUUCGGCCUCCGGGCGGCGCAUGCUUGACGUGUAUGGGUCCGUGACAUCAAGUUGAAUGCUUUCGUAUACUUAAACCCUCCAUUUAAGCAAACUAUAGGGAAUUUUCCUAACCUUUUAGUGUAUGUCCUAAUUAAUUAAUUAGUAAAGUUAU